UACCAAGUCGUGCCAUCUCUUU
rnacentral:siRNA from 1 species